rnacentral:rRNA from 1 species
CUGUAGGCUGCAACUCGCCUACACGAAGUCGGAAUCGCUAGUAAUCGCGGAUCAGCAUGCCGCGGUGAAUACGUUCCCGGGCCCUGUACACACCGCCCGUCACACCAUGGGAGUUUGUAACGCCCAAAGUCGGUGGCCUAACCUUUAUGGAGGGAGCCGCCUAAGGCGGGACAGAUGACUGGGGUGAAGUCGUAACAAGGUAAC